rnacentral:snoRNA from 1 species
CUAUGGAUGGCUGUCCGGGUGGCAUAGGGGAGCAUAGGGCUCUUGCCCCUUUCCACAACUUUGGAGAUGAAGCUGGGCUUUGUGUCUGCGCCUGCACAUUCCUACAACUUCUCAGAGUCUUGUGGACAGUGACUGAGGAGACAAACCAUGCAGGAAACAAAG